rnacentral:rRNA from 1 species
GCCUACGGGGCGCAGCAGUAGGGAAUCUUCCACAAUGGGCGAAAGCCUGAUGGAGCAACGCCGCGUGGGUGAAGAAGGUCUUCGGAUCGUAAAACCCUGUUGUUAGAGAAGAAAGUGCGUGAGAGUAACUGUUCACGUUUCGACGGUAUCUAACCAGAAAGCCACGGCUAACUACGUGCCAGCAGCCGCGGUAAUACGUAGGUGGCAAGCGUUAUCCGGAUUUGUUGGGCGUAAAGAGAACGCAGGCGGUCUUUUAAGUCUGAUGUGAAAGCCUUCGGCUUAACCGGAGUAGUGCAUUGGAAACU